rnacentral:antisense_RNA from 1 species
CUAGCACAGUGGUUGACACUUAAUGGUCUCCCAAUAAAUAUUAAUUUAACGAGAUAUUUAACGCCUACCAUCUUUAAACUGCACAAUUGGAAUUGAACGACCAUCGAUGAAACGCAUCCACAUCGUUAAAUAUUAAUGUAAAAUAAAAACCACACACUUGGUGGAAUAAAUAAAUACAUAAAAUAAAUAGGACCCUCAAUAGAAAUCGUAAAAUGUGUAAAACUAGUGUUGUCAGAAGCCAGCGUUCACCAGACA